rnacentral:tRNA from 1 species
GAAGAAUUAGUUUAAACCAAAACAUUAAUUUGUCAAAUUAAAAAUAUUAUUAAAUAUUCUUUU